UUCUGCUCUGCUAGGCAGAACUUGCCACAGGGAUUCAGUUAUUCCCUUCCAUAUGCAAGAAUGUGACAAGAUAAAAAGGCAUGUUUCUUCCCUCACUUUCAUCCUGAAAUGCUCCCUGACAGGAAGGGCUAAUGAGGACAACACAUCUGCCCCUGUUGAGGCUUCCAUUCUCUCCAAUUUGAGAAUUGCCCUCGGCCCAGGAGACAUCUGGGCUGUGCACGAUGCAGCAGCAGAUAGCAGUGCUCACACCCAGAUAUUCAGGAGGUGGUUUUGGCCAAGGGAAUCCAUCAGUUAUGAACAAGCUCAGCCCUUGGAAGAGGAUCUCUAUCAGUUCCUGUUUGCAUGCUACAGGAUGCUUUCUGGAUGACUCUGUAGCAUUUGCACUUGGCCUGGUGAGCUGAUCUUUCUCAAUUUACUGUAUUUAUUUAUUCCCUGCUUUUAUCACUGAUCUUGAUGUGAGAUGGAGCCAACCCCCACAAGCAGAGAGAGGAGAGUACACAGCAACAGCUGAAGGUGCAAGGUGUGCUUGGGUGACCCAAGGACAGGAAGGUGGGACCUGUGCCCCAGACAAGCUGCAACUCACACCUGAACUCUCCAUGGAAAACUCCAGCCCUUCUCCUGUCUGACUCCCUCUGGUCUAUAAGGGAAGUUGGACACUGGGUUCCAGCUCUAUCAGCAAUGGAAAAAGCAAAAUAAUAACUUCACAUGACCUAGUUCUGGCUUUUCUGUUCUUACCAGCUGCAUGAUAGCCACCAUUCGGCACUACAGACUUUUAGUUUCCUUUAAUAAAGUCAUUUGCACUUU